AACGUACGCUGGCGGCACGCCUAACACAUGCAAGUCGAACGAAGUAGCAAUACUUAGUGGCAGACGGGUGAGUAACAUGUGGGUAUCUGCCCUUUGGCCUGGAAUAACACGAGGAAACUUGUGCUAAUACCGGAUAAGUCUUUACGGAGAAAGCUUUAUGCACCAUUGGAUGAGCCCGCACUUGAUUAGUUUGUUGGUGGGGUAAUGGCCUACCAAGACUGUGAUCAAUAGCUGAUUUGAGAGGAUGAUCAGCCACAUUGGGACUGAGACACGGCCCAAACUCCUACGGGAGGCAGCAGUGGGGAAUCUUGCACAAUGGAGGAAACUCUGAUGCAGCGAUGCCGCGUGAGUGAAGAAGGCCCUUGGGUUGUAAAGCUCUUUCGUCGGGGAAGAAAAUGACUGUACCCGAAUAAGAAGGUCCGGCUAACUUCGUGCCAGCAGCCGCGGUAAUACGAAGGGACCCAGCGUAGUUCGGAAUUACUGGGCUUAAAGAGUUCGUAGGUGGUUGAAAAAGUUAGUGGUGAAAUCCCAGAGCUUAACUCUGGAACUGCCAUUAAAACUUUUCAGCUAGAGUAUGAUAGAGGAAAGCAGAAUUUCUAGUGUAGAGGUGAAAUUCGUAGAUAUUAGAAAGAAUACCAAUUGCGAAGGCAGCUUUCUGGAUCAUUACUGACACUGAGGAACGAAAGCAUGGGUAGCGAAGAGGAUUAGAUACCCUCGUAGUCCAUGCCGUAAACGAUGUGUGUUAGACGUUGGAAAUUUAUUUUCAGUGUCGCAGCGAAAGCGAUAAACACACCGCCUGGGGAGUACGACCGCAAGGUUAAAACUCAAAUGAAUUGACGGGGACCCGCACAAGUAGUGGAGCAUGUGGUUUAAUUCGAAGAUACGCGCAGAACCUUACCAACACUUGACAUGUUCGUCGCGACUCUAAGAGAUUAGAGUUUUCGGUUCGGCCGGACGAAACACAGGUGCUGCAUGGCUGUCGUCAGCUCGUGUCGUGAGAUGUUGGGUUAAGUCCCGCAACGAGCGCAACCCUCACUUUUAGUUGCCAUCAUUAAGUUGGGCACUCUGAAAGAACUGCCAGUGAUAAGCUGGAGGAAGGUGGGGAUGACGUCAAGUCCUCAUGGCCCUUACGUGUUGGGCUACACACGUGCUACAAUGGUAUCUACAACAGGAAGCAAGACUGCGAGGUCAAGCAAAUCCUUAAAAGAUACCUCAGUUCGGAUUGCACUCUGCAACUCGAGUGCAUGAAGCUGGAAUUACUAGUAAUCGUGGAUCAGCGUGCCACGGUGAAUGCGUUCCCGGGUCUUGUACACACCGCCCGUCACACCAUGGGAGUUGGUUCUACCUUAAGGCAAGGUUUCAAACCCUUGACCACGGUAUAGUCAGCGACUGGGGUG
rnacentral:rRNA from 1 species